rnacentral:rRNA from 1 species
UCGAACGGAUCCUUCGGGAUUAGUGGCGGACGGGUGAGUAACACGUGGGAACGUGCCCUUUGGUUCGGAACAACUCAGGGAAACUUGAGCUAAUACCGGGUGUGCCCUUCGGGGGAAAGAUUUAUCGCCAUUGGAGCGGCCCGCGUCUGAUUAGCUAGUUGGUGGGGUAAAGGCCCACCAAGGCGACGAUCAGUAGCUGGUCUGAGAGGAUGAUCAGCCACAUUGGGACUGAGACACGGCCCAA